rnacentral:rRNA from 1 species
CUACGGGUGGCAGCAGUGGGGAAUAUUGCAUAAUGGGCGCAAGCCUGAUGCAGCAACGCCGCGUGAACGAAGAAGGUUUUCGGAUCGUAAAGUUCUUUUCUUGGGGAAGAAACCAUGACGGUACCCAAGGAAUAAGCACCGGCUAACUACGUGCCAGCAGCCGCGGUAAUACGUAGGGUGCAAGCGUUAUCCGGAAUCACUGGGCGUAAAGGGUGCGUAGGCGGUUUUGCAAGUCAGAAGUGAAAGGCAAUGGCUCAACCAUUGUAAGCUUUUGAAACUGUAAGACUUGAAUGCAGGAGGGUAAGUGGAAUUCCUAGUGUAGCGGUGAAAUGCGUAGAUAUUAGGAGGAACACCAGUGGCGAAGGCGACUUACUGGACUGUUAUUGACGCUGAGGCACGAAAGCGUGGGGAGCGAACAGGAUUAGAUACCCCAGUAGUC